GCCCUUCGGGGUGGAUCAGUGGCGAACGGGUGAGUAACACGUGGGCAAUCUGCCCUGCAUUCUGGGACAAGCCUUGGAAACGAGGUCUAAUACCGGAUACGACGCAUCCCCGCAUGGGGUGUGCGUGGAAAGCUCCGGCGAUGCAGGAUGAGCCCGCGGCCUAUCAGCUUGUUGGUGGGGUAAUGGCCUACCAAGGCGACGACGGGUAGCCGGCCUGAGAGGGCGACCGGCCACACUGGGACUGAGACACGGCCCAGACUCCUACGGGAGGCAGCAGUGGGGAAUAUUGCACAAUGGGCGAAAGCCUGAUGCAGCGACGCCGCGUGAGGGAUGACGGCCUUCGGGUUGUAAACCUCUUUCAGCAGGGAAGAAGCGCAAGUGACGGUACCUGCAGAAGAAGCACCGGCUAACUACGUGCCAGCAGCCGCGGUAAUACGUAGGGUGCGAGCGUUGUCCGGAAUUAUUGGGCGUAAAGAGCUCGUAGGCGGCCUGUCACGUCGGAUGUGAAAGCCCGGGGCUUAACUCCGGGUCUGCAUUCGAUACGGGCAGGCUAGAGUGUGGUAGGGGAGAUCGGAAUUCCUGGUGUAGCGGUGA
rnacentral:rRNA from 1 species